ensembl:lncRNA
GAUUGCUCCUUUUAGAUUUUUUUUUUUUUCUGCAAGCCUGUGAUACGGCACACUGAGUUUUCUGGGAAUGUUAUGGUAAAAUCCUCAGAUGCCAGAGGAAAAUCCACUCAAACUUUUUCUGUAAAGAACUUGAAGAGGAAUCAUGUGCUUAUCACCAGAAAGAUAUUCAUGGAGAUAAGAGAAUCAUAGGUGUUGAAAAGAACCUCGGGGGAUCAUAAAAUCCAACCCCAAUGAUAAAGCAGGUUCCCUAAAGUAUGUUGCACAAGAAUGCCUCCAGGCAAGUCUGAAUAUCUCCAGAGGAAAGACUAUAACCUAUUAUUAUUAUGGAUAUUUGUAUACCUGUUACUUAUCGGUGGGGGUGUGGGAGGAAGUGAUCUAACUGUUCAGUUUCUUUUUUUUUUUUUUACUUUAAUUGGCUUCUUUUCAUACUGUGAUAGUGUUACAGUCUUAAACACUUACUGUUCUCAUCUUUCUUUAAAAGUGGGUGUUAAGGCUUCAGUAGUUGAUACAACUUUUAUCAGCUAUGUGCCCUUCUGUAAGUGAUAUAAUGAUACUGUCAUCCUGAUGCAGAAAGAUGAUAUAAACUCUCUUGAAAAUACUUCAGAUGUUCAUGUCAGCGCCUGCCUUAGAAUGACAGGAAAUCACCGAGCGCAGGGGCAGAUUGGGAUUCUUGAAUAUCAGGGAUUCUCAAAGUACUAGAAUUCAUUAGUGUGUAUUUCUACACUAAUGUUUUGAUGUUCCAUUAAGAAGUGAAGGACCUGAAAAUGGUAAAAUUAAAAACAACAAAGUGUAGCUUUGAAAACCUUAACUUCAGUCUCAGCUUCAUAAUCUAAACUUAACUACUCUGUGUAACAACUCUAAGUCAAAUUAUCCCAUUAUGGGCUGGUUAAUUUUCUACAUUUAGUGAUUUACUACAUUCAGUUACUCUGAAGGAAUUAAUAUAAAGUAUCUAUGUUAAAUUUAUUGGUAUCAUACAGUGAAUUUUGUGAAGUGCUUACAUUAUAUUUUAAAGUAACUCAAAAUAGCUGCUCUACAGAUUUUUUUUAGUCUACCACUCUUUUCCACGCACUUAACAAAGGCAAAGUGUAUAUAAAGACAAGCUGAUCUCUGUACUGUCAUGUUUGAAUUGUAAUUUCAGCACUGUCUACAAAUGUUUUCAUAUGGACAUAUACAAAACUGUAUCAGUUAAGUAAUUUCAUGGCCAUGCUCUUACUGUCUUUGAUCAAUUAGGUCAUUGUUUCUAGCACGUUCAUUAUGUAAUAUUCAAGUAGGUCAGUCUGUGAAUACUGCCAGAUCCAACUGAGUGAUGUUGAACACCUGGGCAGAAUCACGUUGUGCUCAUCUGUUGUACAGCAUGUUCAGGGAUGUUAAGCAGCAAAUAAACUCUGCUAAUGUUGAUAAAGGGUUUACCCAAAGGAGUGUGCACACUUUUAGACUCAGUUCUUAGACUCAGUAAUAUUUUCUCACUAUAGUACUCCUGUGUUAAUCAACAAACCUUCCCAUGGCAGUGAGAAAAUAAAAACAACUAGUAAUCUGUCAGAAAAAUCCUUCCACUUAGAAUUCUGAUAGUGAAGAAAUUGUUUAUGAUACGAUUAUUGAAGGAGAAGGAAAUAAGGUUUUCCCAGUCAUGCUUUGUUUCUCUAUGUUUCUCAAGGUAUCAUGCAGUUCUAAUUCCAUUGACUACAUUGGUUGAGAUUACCGAGAAGGAUGAGAG